AACGAACGCUGGCGGCAUGCCUAACACAUGCAAGUCGAACGAUGCCUUCGGGCAUAGUGGCGCACGGGUGCGUAACGCGUGGGAAUCUGCCCUUGGCUUCGGAAUAACAGUUAGAAAUGACUGCUAAUACCGGAUGAUGUCCCCCUGAGAGAUCUUGGGGACCAAAGAUUUAUCGGCCAGGGAUGAGCCCGCGUAGGAUUAGGUAGUUGGUGGGGUAAAGGCCUACCAAGCCGACGAUCCUUAGCUGGUCUGAGAGGAUGAUCAGCCACACUGGGACUGAGACACGGCCCAGACUCCUACGGGAGGCAGCAGUGGGGAAUAUUGGACAAUGGGGGGAACCCUGAUCCAGCAAUGCUGCGUGAGUGAUGAAGGCCUUAGGGUUGUAAAGCUCUUUUACCAGGGAUGAUAAUGACAGUACCUGGAGAAUAAGCUCCGGCUAACUCCGUG
rnacentral:rRNA from 1 species